UGGGGAAUAUCGCACAAUGGGGGAAACCCUGAUGCAGCGACGCCGCGUGAGUGAAGAAGUAUUUCGGUAUGUAAAGCUCUAUCAGCAGGGAAGAAAAUGACGGUACCUGACUAAGAAGCCCCGGCUAACUACGUGCCAGCAGCCGCGGUAAUAAU
rnacentral:rRNA from 1 species